GGGGAUUUAGCUCAGUGGUAGAGUGCUUGUGUGUCUUGCACAAGACCCUGAGUUCAAUCCCCA
rnacentral:tRNA from 1 species